rnacentral:tRNA from 1 species
GGUUAUAGCUCAGUGGUAGAGCGGUUGCCUAGCAUGCAUGAGGCACUGGGUUCAAUCCCCAGCACCA